rnacentral:rRNA from 1 species
AUUGAACGCUGGCGGCAGGCCUAACACAUGCAAGUCGAGCGAGCGGCGGACGGGUGAGUAAUGUAUGGGGACUGCCCGAUAGAGGGGGAUAACUACUGGAAACGGUAGCUACUACCGCAUACUAUCGGAUAACCCAUAUGGGAUUAGCUCGUAUGUGAGGUAAUGGCUCACCUCGGCGACGCUCCCUCGCUGGUCUGAGAGGUAUAUCAGCCAACUUGGGACUGAGACACGGCCCAGACUCCUACGGAGGCAGCAGUGGGGAAUAGUGCACAUUGGGCGCAAGCCUGAUGCAGCCAUGCGGAGUGGAUGAAGAAGGCCCUCGGGUUGUAAAGUAAUUUCAGUCGGGAGGCGUUACCGACAGAAGAAGCACCGGCUAACUCCGUGCCAGCCGCCGCGGUAAUUC